UACGUAGGGGGCAAGCGUUGUCCGGAAUCAUUGGGCGUAAAGAGCGUGUAGGCGGCUCGAUAAGUCCGCUCUGAAAGCCCGGGGCUCAACCCCGGGAGGCGGGCGGAUACUGUCGAGCUAGAGUCCGGAAGGGGCGAGUGGAAUUCCUGGUGUAGCGGUGAAAUGCGCAGAUAUCAGGAGGAACACCAAUGGCGAAGGCAGCUCGCUGGGACGGUACUGACGCUGAGACGCGAAAGCGUGGGGAGCAAACAGG
rnacentral:rRNA from 1 species